rnacentral:rRNA from 1 species
UACGUAGGGGGCAAGCGUUGUCCGGAAUCAUUGGGCGUAAAGAGCGUGUAGGCGGCCCGGUAAGUCCGCUGUAAAAGUCAAAGGCUCAACCUUUGAAUGUCAGUGGAUACUGUCGGGCUCGAGUCCGGAAGAGGAGUGUGGAAUUCCUGGUGUAGCGGUGAAAUGCGCAGAUAUCAGGAGGAACACCAAUGGCGAAGGCAGCACUCUGGGACGUGACUGACGCUGAGACGCGAAAGCGUGGGGAGCAAACAGG